AAUAAUUAUUCUGAUAUAAAUAUGAAAAUCUCAAGAUUAUGCUCAUUACUAACCAAACAGCAAGAAAAUGAAGGUCGUUCUGUGUUUCGCAUUAGUUUUCCUUGGUACGUAAUUAUUUAAUUGUAGCUAAAAGCAGACAUUUACUUCACAACAGCUUUGAUAAAUCUUAUGAAAUAAGCCAUGUGUAGUGUUAUGUUAUAAUAAUCUCCGCUACAAAUGAAGAAUGGAGGGAGUAGGCGGGAAAAUAAGGAUGUACAUCUCCGUCCAUCUGUUUGUCCGUCCGCCACACUACUUUUGAUUUUGGGGAAACAAUUAAAAAAACCUUGACUACAUAUUUGAAAUUUGAACAUAGUGUUGAACCAUAAAAAAUACAGGUCAAAUUAUAUUUUGACUGUGUUUAACCGUUCAAGAUAUGUGCCUGUUAUAGUUAUCUGAAAGUUGUUUAGUUUCAGAACGAUAAUAAUAGAUCCACUUUACAAAAUCGUUUCUGGUUAUAGAUUAAUUUGAAACUUGCAAAGUUCAUUUUUUGACAGUGUACGAAAAAAGAUGUAAAAUUUACCGUUUAAUAGUAUACACAUUAAUAUCUUUGAAAAAGGAGAUUUGUUUUGUUUCCGUGUUUCAACUAAGAUACUUUUUGAAAGUGUCCUUUAAGUUUAAAAAAAAUGUUAUGAUCCAUAAAUAAAUUCGAUUUUGACAGUAUUGGCCUUUAACAUUCAGAAAGUAUGCUGCUUAUAAAUUCUUAAUUUAAAAAUUUCUUUGGUUCCUAAAAAAUGAAUUACGUACCAUUGCAUGGACAUAAUCUCCAAAAAUUAUAAAUUCUAAGUCAGGAAUAUGACAGUUGUUAUCCAUUCGUUUGAUGUGUUUGGACUUUUGAUUUUGCCUUUUGAUUUUUGAUUUUCCUUUUUGAAUUUUCCUCGGAGUUCAGUAUUUUUGUGUUUUCACUUUUUAAUGUCACAGUUUUGUCAUUUACCUAUCAAGAAUUUUGCCACUAUAUUUUUUCUCUAAAGUAUAAUUUGAUAAAUUCCAGUUCUUUAUGAAAGUAUGUUUUCAACGUUUUAAAAGUCGUUUUCAAUUCAAACAUAACAUUAUUGACAAUAAUACAAACGUGCCUAGUAUUAAAGCUCGAUUUUAACAAAAUAGUAAUUUCUGUUCAAGAGUAUGCUAUGGGUUGGGUAUCUGAUAUUCUUCGUCUCCCGAUUCUAGUUUCCGUUUUUCAAAUGUUCGAAUUCACACUUCUCUGAACAGGGACCUUUCGGUCAGUUUCCGACUUCAAGAGAAAAGUUAAAAAAGGAUUACAUUCAGCAUUAAAUAGUACACAGGCAAAAUUUGCUCACAUAAAUUUCACAUGAAUCUCACAUGAAAUUCACAUUAAAAAUUUCACGUGAGAUUCACCUCAAUCGAGCUUAUACAUGAAACUCACGUGAAAAUUUUCAUGUGAAUUUCACGUAAAUUGAGAUUCACAUGAAUCUGAUGUGAAAUUUUUCACAUGAAUUUCACGUGAAAUUUACAACAAUUCUUUUUUAUAUUUUUCAUGAUUUUGAUUAAAUUUGAAAAUUUAGAUGUUAUUUGAAAUACUCUAUUUUAAAAAUUCAUGUGAAUUUCACAUGAAAAAAAUUUACGUGAUUUUCAUGUGAAAUUCAUAUGAUUUUCACAUGAGAUUCACAUGAAACUCACAAAAACUGAUUUCACGUGAGUUUCACGUAUAAGCUCGUUUGAGGUGAAAUUCAUGUGAAUUUCACGUGAGAUUCACAUGAAUUUAAAUUCACGUGAAAUUGAUGUCAGUAAAAUUUGCCUGUGUAUAUAGAAUCUUUAUUAUGAAUCAGUAUUUCAAAAUUCAUUUGUCAGGAAAACAUAGAAUUUAAUUGAAACAAAAUGAAUUGAACUUACCCGACUUCCCAUUUGUUUUUCCAACGCUUUAUCCAAGGGUGACACAAUUGUGAUAGCAAUAAAUAUUCUAUCACUUAGUUUCAACGAUUUGAUGUAUUCACUUAACUGUAGGAUAUGUAAUAUAAGAUUAAUUUGUGUGUAAUCCAAUAACAUCUUUUGGGAAAUCAUAUUUGUAUUUAAGACAAAACACUAUUUUAGAAUUUGCUAAAAAAAAAACAUUCUCUUCAUUUUACAGUUACAGUUUACGCAGAGCACUGUAGACAAUCCUCGGGAUGCACUCUGACACAGUGUUCCCAAGGAACAUUGGCUUGUAUUGACAGCAGAUGUACAUGUGCAACCGACACCGGUAAUGGUAAGUUCUAAGAAUAUUUUGUUGAUUUGCACUGUUAUUUUUUAUUAUUCAUUUACACAUGAAUAUAAUCCAACAUUCCUAAGGAAUAAAUCAGACAAAGCCAUUUCAGUAUGCAUGAGGCAGUUACUCUAUAAUAGAUUCUUAUUUAGUUAAAGAUCUCCAAACAUUUAUAAGAGGAAUCCUCUGUAACAAAAAAAAUAUAUUGAUGUUUUUACUUUUAUGGCAUAUCAAAAUUGUUUUUCCGUAAUGAAGAGUAAUAAGGAGCAAAAUUUAAAACCAAUACAGGACCUUGUCUAUGAAUACUUCACUCUAUAUAGUAAACAUUUGAAUGUUUUUCAAUAUCUUCAAAAAGUGAAUAGUAUAAACGUAACAAAUAUUUGAUCCUUAAUUCAUAUUCUCAAUUAUAAAUAACAUAUCACAUUUGAUAUUUCAUAUAUUCUCAUUAUAUACUCUGGGUUUUUUAAACGUAAAAACUAUUAUUUGCAUGAAAUAUCUUCUAUUUCUAGCUUGUACAACACGUGAUGACUGUCACCAACAUUGUCAAAAUCAUGGAGGACGAGCACAUUGUGUCGAUGGAAGUUGUAGGUGUCAACACUGAAGAGAUUUUAGAAUAAAUAUUCGAUCUUACGUAUAGUUGUUUUAUGCAAUACUAUCUGGAUAUUAUAUGCCUUGUGUUACAGUGAUAUCUCUUGGAAUUAAAAUGU
rnacentral:lncRNA from 1 species